ACAGAAUGAAUAAUAAAAACUCGUGACUUCUCAGAGCCUCCAUUGGCCAUUCAGUUCAAACAAUUCACACGGAGCCAAUCAAACAUUCACCUGUUGGCAAACAACCUCCAGACCACAUUCCAAAGCAGCAAAACAGGGAGGAGCAAUCAGAAAAUCUGCUCCAGGAUUCAGUUUUGGGAGAUAAAAUUGGCUUUGCCUGUUUCUGCACUGCCCAAAUCCAGGGAAGGGAUGGAAAAGCUGCCCUGGCAUCUUUUAGAGGGAAGAUUACUUGGCCUUGCUUUUCCUGAGGUUUUUUGAGGAAUCCAGCUUUUAAACCAAGGGCAUGGAUGACACCUAAAAAUUAAUUAAGGAAGAGGCAAAAUCAUCCCUGAAUGCAACUGGAAUAGAGUCAGCCCUCAAUCCAGAUGGAAGUGUCCAAGCCUGGAAGCUGCUCCUGGGCCAUUCAGGAAAAGGAGAAAAUUCAGUUUGCCAGGAAUUUGCACAGGAAAACCUGCAUGGAAAACUUCCCACAGCAGCUGCUGGGAAGGGGACAGAGGAGCAGGUGGAAAUUUUA